UCCUCAGUAGCUCAGUGGUAGAGCGGUCGAUUGUUAACCGAUUAGUCGUAGGUUCUCGAAUCCUACUUGGGGAG